AUGAGAUUUGAACAAUACGAGGGGUAUGAAAAGAUAUUUGGUUUCUUGUUUACUUCAGAUAGGCUGCGAUCACUAGAUGACAAGAGUUUGAUGGCUGCUUGUGUUAAUCUUGAAGAUUCACUUAAGAGUGGAGAACAUACAGAUAUUGAUGGACUUGAAUUGUGUUGCGAGCUAAUUUUCGUACAGGAUUCACUUCAGAAAUCUAUGGGUCCUCUUGACAUUCUGAAUUAUUUGAAGAAGCGCUCGACAAUCUAUCCUAAUGCUAUUAUUGCAUACAGAAUUUUAUUGACCAUUCCUGUAACUGUUGCAUCUGCGGAAAGGAGUUUAUAUAAACUCAAAUUAUUGAAGUCCUACUUGUGUUCUACUAUGACACAAGAAAGACUGAAUGGGUUGGCGACAAUAGCACUUGAAAACGAUGUCUUGGAGAAGAUAAAGUACGAAGAUAUGAUUGAAGAUUUUGUUUCAAGAAAUACUAGACGGAUGCUCCUUUUUGGUAGGACAUGA
rnacentral:rRNA from 1 species